AAUUUUCCUUUUAUUCUAGGUUGGUGGAGAGGCAUAUUGGAUAGCAAAACAGAGCAUGGGGCGCUAAGAAAUUAAUGUCUCCAUACACAGAUGAGACCAAGCCGGAAUGUCUCAGACCCAAAUCUCGAGCAUGAUUUGAAUUGAUCACCAGUACGCUUUUAAAAGAGGACAUCCUCGACCCAAGCAGCAAUGUUGAAAGCCAAUCCUUCCAACACUCUUGAAUAGCUUUCUAGGAUGGCUUGUCCC